UGGAUUUUGAACUUAACUUUUGAAAUCCUUGGUUUCACUCCUAGUCUCAUCUAUAAACUGUGGGUUCUCAGUCAGUGACAUUAAACCUCUGAACCAAUAAAAUGGGACUAUAACUACUUCAGAGCACAGUAAUGAGGAUUAAAGGUCAGAGGACCUCUCAUAAUGUCAGGCACAAAGCAGACCUGAACAAAUUUUAACAGUUUGUAUAUGAAUAAACAGUGUGUUCAGCCGGCUUGGGUAAUCACCAGUUAAUUUUCACAAAAUUUCCUACUUAUAAACCUGGUGGGCUGAGGUUUAGCAUGUGGAAUCCUUUGGCAAGUUCCUCAGAGUCUGAAGUGAUGUCUUCAGGAAGUUAAAGGCUUCUGUGUGAACACCUGAAAAGAUUUUUGGUUUCCACUCCAUAUCAGGGGAACUGCCAUUCACUGUUUAGACAGAGUUAGAGUAGUGGCAGAAAUUGACAAAAGGGAUUUGGAGGAAGAUUGGAACUCUCUAACUUUACCCUUAAUUUUUUUUUUUUUUUCCUUUUUAAAAAAUAAGCGGUCCUUGGUAUGCUGCUGUUUUGGUUGAAGUGUUGUUUUGUUUUGUUUUGUUUUAAAUGAGUUAAUAUUUAAUUUGUUUUCGCUAGUUUCAUUUUUAAGUAAAGCUGGUUGACUUCUGACCUUAGAGGGAAACACAUGGACACCUUUGGGUUGCUGCCUCCUGUCAGUUUCUCUUUUCAUGGAAUCUUAUAAAAGCCCCUAGGAAAUAUUUGGAGGGAUAGGGAGCAUUUGCCCAGGUAUUAUUGAAAACAUUUGUUCUUACUGUACUUGCAACAACUUUUAGGGUUAAAGGUCACAGGGAAAAAAAUUUUUUUUUUCACAGUGUAAUUUAGAGAUCUUGGGCAUCAGAAUCCAGAAGACCUCAGGCUAUCUGAGUGGUAACUUGCUGGCUGUGUUACUUUGCGCAAUUAAACCCUCUGGAAUUCUUGUGGAACUUUAAACAAAAUAUAGGGAAGAAGCAGAAAUAAUCAUACAUCUAUUAAAAUAGACAGUGAGAACUUUUUAACGAAGCGAUACUUUGAAGUGAGAUAUUGUUCUUUUAAGGAAGGAUUACUGAGAAUUCUAGACAGUUUCAGACUAGAGUAGCCUGUCCAACUUUAUCUAAUCUUAUGGGGGAUUUGAAGCCUCUAUCCUGAAUUACUGAUAUCAUUUAUUCAGUUGGUGAACAUUUAGUGAGCACCUACUAUAUUCCAGCCACAAUGCUAGGUACUAGCAAUGCUAAGAUGAAGGAUGCACUGGGAACUGCAAUGGCAGAAAAAUCCCCUCAUCUUUGAUUAUGGAGAGGAAAAAAAGAGUCAAAAAGAAGGACAGGGGUAGGGAGUUGGGAGGAAACUAGAAGUGGUUAGGCUGUGAUUGGCUACCUCCCACUGAUAAUUUGAGAUCUUCUGGCUUUGUAAUGGGUAUUGAAUUGGAGCUUCUAAGUUCUGAGGCUGAACACUCCAAGUAUGCCUUGCUUUACCCAAUAAAAAUAUUAUAGACAAAUUUAGCCCUUAAGUUAAAUAACUUUAAAUUUAGAGCAAACUAGUUUCAGUGAAAUCUAAAGGGUAAAAUCAGUUUGGCUAAGAUUUAUGUACUGUGAGCAAAGAAAGCACUGUUGUAGAUUUUUAAAAGAAUAAUCACUGUUAGUAGCAUUUCAUUUAUUUUUCCCCAUAUUAUAAGUAGUAUGUUACUUGUAGAAGUUUAAAAGUACAAGGUAAACAAGUUCACCACCACCCAGAAAAUCACUUAGUGUUACAUCCACAGAGUCUUUCUCACCUCUAGAGAAGUACUGUAUACGUAUUGUGUUUACUGUGGUCCAGGCAACGUGCCACUAUUUUACAUAUACACCAAAUCUCCUGUUAUCCUCACUCCAGCCCUAUGAGGUAGAUGCGAUUAUGGAGGAAAAGACUGAUUUAGAGAAAUUAAAUAACUGUCCUGAAGUUACAAGCUAGAAAAUUGUUCUCUACAAAACUAGGUUCGUUCUCCACAUCCUGUUUUCUAACUUUUUUUCACCCACAUAUGGGCAUCUCUAUCACUAAAAUACAUUUAAACAACAUCUUUUAUAGUUUUCAAUUGUAUGGCUGUAUCUCGAUUUAAUCAAUCUCUUGUUGUUGGAUACGCACAUCCAUGAUUAUUGUAGUCUUUUUUUUUUUUUUUUUUUUUUUUUUUAAUGGUUGCACCAACUGCAAAUGAAAGUUCCUGGGUCAGGGAUCAAACCCAAGCCUCUGCACCUAGGGUCAGGUUCUUAGCCCACUGUGCCACAACGGGGACUCCUAUUUUAGUCAUUUCUUUGCAUUGCAUUUUAAAAAGUGAAUUAUUAUGAUCUUUAAUUUACCUGCCUUUUUAAAAAGGCAUAUUCAGAAUUAGAAAACUUUCUCUUUUCUCUCAAAGAUUUGUUCUAAUUUCUGUGUUCCUUUAGUGUUCCUCUUAAGAUUUCAGCAAUAGGAUCAACAUUCUCUGUGGGGCUGCACAAUAGGUCAGUAGCUCGUUACUCAAGGGAUUUAUCUGAUGAAAACCGGAACACGGAGACUUUCUUAAAGAACUAUUUGUGUUUGUAUUAUUGUUAUUGGCCAUAAAGCUGAACUUCUUUUGUGGGGAAAUACAGCAGAAUGGAGCAGUGCUAACUUUACCAGGCAGAAGGGAAAUUCUACUUCUACAGUUUGCCUCCUUAGUACCCAGUAGGAUAGACAAGUUACAUUUUGCAGAUAUUGCAUUUAGCAGAUUUAUCGUUCAGGUUUAGAAUAAAUGCCAUCACUUUUAAAUAGGUUACCUUAAAAAAAAAAUCUCUUGUUUGCACUCCUGAAAAGUGUAUUAUAGGUGAGACAUUUUCCAGUUGAUUUAAUGAAAGGGCAAGAAAUACCCAUUAGCUAGUUUUCAUUAUAAGUAUAAAGCAUUUCUUCAUUUAAGCAUUUCUCAAGUUUUACUAAAAUAGACCGUUUUUGCUAUCCUGAGUCAAAAUUUUACUUUUAUUUUAGGUUUGUCUUUCCAUUUCCAAUACUAAUUACUUUAUUCUUAGGUUUGGUUUGUUUGUUUGGGGCUGCACCCUGGCUAGGGAUCAAAUUCACACCAUAGCAGUGACCCAAGCCACUGCAGUGACAACGUAGGCUCCUUAACCGUCUGUGCCACAUGGGAACACCAUCAUGGUUUUGAUGUUGGAAUAUGAGUGGUGUUCAGGUCAGCAUCUUCCUACAGAAACCCAGAUCAGGUCAAUGUAUUGAUUCCUAACAAUGACUUUUAAUUCAAAACAGAAUUUGAAGAAACAGGAAAUAAAAUUAAAGUAUAGGGAGUUCCCACUGCGGCUCAGCUGGCUACAAACCCGACUGGUGUCCAUGAGGAUUUGGGUUUGAUCCCUGGCCUCGCUCAGUGGGUUAAGGAUCUGGUGUUGCCAUGAGCUGUGGUAUAGGUCGCAGAUGCAGCUCAGAUCCCAUGUGGCUUUGGCUUGGCUGUGUCUGGCAGCUGCAGCUGCAAUUCGAUCCCUAGCCUGAGAAUGUCCAUAUGCCACAGGUUUGGC
rnacentral:lncRNA from 1 species